UACGAAGGGGGCUAGCGUUGUCCGGAAUCAUUGGGCGUAAAGAGCGUGUAGGCGGUCCGGUAAGUCCGUUGUGAAAGUCGGGGGCUCAACCCUUGGAAUGCCGGCGGAUACUGCUCGGGCUAGAGUCCGGAAGAGGCGAGUGGAAUUCCCGGUGUAGCGGUGAAAUGCGCAGAUAUCGGGAGGAACACCUAUGGCGAAGGCAGCUCGCUGGGACGGUACUGACGCUGAGAACGCGAAAGCGUGGGGAGCAAACAGG
rnacentral:rRNA from 1 species